rnacentral:sRNA from 1 species
AGAGCAGGCCUUUCAGGCAUCCUCUCCUAAACCUUUCAAAGGGUCGGUCUUCGGACCGGCCCCUUUUUUUGCCCGAA